GCUUAGUUUCCACUUGCAGCAGGGUACAGGAGUUAAGGUGGCUGACCCAUCCCUAGCCUCAGUGACAAGAAGUGGGCAGAGGGGAAACAGACCAAUGACGUUAUUUGUUCUACUUGGCAUCUCUCAGGCCUCUUCCUUUGUUGGGUAGAGAGGGAGUGACCAUAAAAAAAUGGGGUUUAUGUGUAGGGAAGGUGGGGCAACAGAUAACUCAAAGGGGUGCCUAGAUAUGCGGAGAGGGUGAUGGCAAGAGAAGAAAAGUUAUGCUUUCAUGUAAAAGGCAUGAAGCACUUGACUUAGGGUGAAGGAAUAAGAAAACGUGACGUGUGGAAGAAUGAACACACAGCCAAGAGGCCCUGUUGCUGAGUGUGCUAAACAAUAGAGAACCUCUAUGGAUUCUCGCCUGCAGUCCUGGCUCCGCCAUUAAUUCACUGUAUGCCUUUGGGUCCCUCUUGACAGCAGGGAGCUCUCCUCGGCACCUCCUCACGAUGUGACCCAGAGGUGAAAUGGCCACCACCUCAAACAUGGCUGCUCACCGCAGCAGAGGCAAAAAGAGCUCUAGAGCAGGACUCUCCCACCUAAUAGCCACAGGCCACCUGUGGCUAUUGAGUACUUUAAAUGGGGCUAGAAUGAAUUGAGAUUGCUGUAAGUGCCAAGUACACAUCUGAUUUCAAAGACGGUCUAAAUAAUGACAGCAAUAAUAAAGGAUUGUAAAAUAUCUUAAUAAUUUUAUAUUGAUUUCAUACUGAAAUGAUAUUUUGAA